rnacentral:rRNA from 1 species
CACGUAGGGCGCAAGCGUUGUCCGGAAUUAUUGGGCGUAAAGAGCUCGUAGGCGGUUUGUCGCGUCUGCUGUGAAAACUGGAGGCUCAACCUCCAGCCUGCAGUGGGUACGGGCAAACUAGAGUGCGGUAGGGGAGAUUGGAAUUCCUGGUGUAGCGGUGGAAUGCGCAGAUAUCAGGAGGAACACCGAUGGCGAAGGCAGAUCUCUGGGCCGUAACUGACGCUGAGGAGCGAAAGCAUGGGGGAGCGAACAGG